rnacentral:lncRNA from 1 species
UUGAAACAAUAAAAAGAGAGUUACUUAUGUAUUAUAUCUAAUAAAAAUAGAGAAGAGAUAAAAUUUCAUACAAAUAGAACUCCGACAAUCUAUAACUAAAUGCAUUUAUAUUAAGGUCUUGUCUAGGCUAAUAUUUAAUAAAGUUUGGUGGCAUGAUUGAAGUAUUUAAAACAAAAGUCAGAUGGUGGGUACAUAACUAUUAUUACUAUAGUAUACUGCCAUGCUUGGUGCAUGACUAAUAUAUUAAAUUCUACUUAUAAAAGUGUGGGUUGGAGAAGCGUGGGGUGGGAAUAGCAACUAGAGGAACAUUCUUUCUUAGAACAAUUCCAAAUUUUUCUUCUGUUUCUAACUUGUCUCCUUGUGGUAUUGUCCAGUCAAACAAGUGUAUAAGUGUUGCAAGAAGAUGAAGAACAGUCUUCUCAGCCAUUGCUAUUCCUGCACAGAUUCUUCUUCCAGAUCCAAAGGGAAAAUAACUGAAGUCAUUGCCACUGAAAUCCCACUUAGCAUCCAAGAACCUUGUAGGAUCAAAUUCCAGAGGUUUCUCCCAAACUGAAGGGUCUCUAUGAAUGGCCCACACAUUGAUGAAGAUUCGAGAACCCUUUGGGAUGGUGUAGCCUCCGACGUUGCUGCUUUCACUGGGGCUAUGUGGAACUAGAAGUGGAAGUGCAGGAUGCAACCGAAGAGUCUCUUUCAUCACUGCUUCCAAGUAAUGCAACUUAUGAAUGUCAGACUCUUCUACCAUUUUAUCUUUUCCAACCACAACUUCCAACUCUUCUUGGACUUUCUUCAUUACUUCUGCCUUCUGCAUUAUUUCUGCCAUUGCAAACUCAAUUGUGUUUGAAGAUGUAUCGGUUCCACCCACAACCAUAUCCUGUUUGUGUUUAUUUACAAUUUCCCCUACUGUUGUUAGUCAUAACAUUCUUGAAUUUCCUUAUUUUAUUUUUUUUUC